rnacentral:snRNA from 2 species
UUACUCACCUGGACCGUGUCUAUGGUUGAUCAAUAAGGGUAUUGGCCUAGGUUUAGUAGCUUUCAUUGCACCUGGAAAGAGCGCUUGCCUACCAUCUCGUCAAAUAGGGAGUGAGCGUCAUAAUUUAUUAUGGUAGAGGAGGUACGCGUUCGCGCGGUUCCUUC